GAUAUGGUCUGCAGCCCAACUCCUUUGAAAUCUGUAAAUGGAGAUUUUAGAAUUGUAGGAUGAAACUUUUAUUUUGAUUCCAGACAGAAGCUAUGCCCAACAUUCAUAUUGACUUCUUCAAUCGAAAUAGCUGGAUUGAUUUGCUUGCAUCUGAAAGGCUGAUUGCGUGGACCUGUGAUAGAUACUGUAUUGCUUUGAUUUCAUCAUCCUAUACAUUUAGAUGCGUUUUAAAGUUGUGAGAGCCAAUAUCGUAUCAAACUCAUCUCAUAUGUUUUUCCCUAAUUCAGUCCAAGGCUCUUUCAUUGAGCCACAACUUCUUGGUGCAUUUGAGAUGCUUUAGGCAAGGUCUAAAUUCAACUAUUUGGAUGCUGAUAUUGGUACUUUUCAAGCAGAUUUCUUAUAGAAUCUCCCCAUAUUUUCAAUUUCUUUAAUGGGUCAUUUUCAAACAAGGAGUAUGAUAGCUUGAGAGCUAGGGUGACUUCUUAUACAAUAUUUGUUCACUUAUGGUAAGAUUAGAGAUAUGAUUUUAAGAAGGUUUAAGUGUGUUUUUCUUAUAAAAGAUAGAUAUUUAGCAAAGUUUCAAAAAUUUAGAGAAUUAUUUAAAGUGAUUUUUGGAUUAGUAGUGUGCGUGCGGGUUUUUUUUUUUUUUUUUAAAUUUUAAAUCAUCUUCAAAUUUCAAUAUCAUUUAUUUAUGUUUUGCUUUUAAAAAAAAAUUGAAAAUUAAUUUUUAAUUAUUUAUUUAAGUCUUUUUUCAAUAUCAAAAUUGUUCUUAUUUCUAAUAAAAAAAAUUUAAGUAACGAAAGUGAUUACUUCUAUUUCUUAAACAUUGAUUUGAUGUUGGGCUGAGCUCUAUGAGUUGGGCCAACUCACAAGUCAGCGCAACAAACAUCUCUGAGGACACCCUUGUAAUUUUGAAAGAAUUGAGGGGUAAAAUGAGUCAUUUCACCACCUCUUCCCCAAAUUGUUGGUAAGAGAGCCACCAUGGAAGAACAGCGAUGGACCUUAUAACAGUGUCAACAAAACCAAUUGCUCUCCUUACAAUCACCUUAGGUAGCACCAUUUUCUUCAUACUUAUCCUCCGGCCGCAUACAUUUUCUCCAAAGCCAGACUCCAUGGCUCGAAGCUUUGUUUGUGGCUUCAUGGGUUGGGUGACUCNNNNNNNNNNNNNNNNNNNNNNNNNNNNNNNNNNNNNNNNNNNNNNNNNNNNNNNNNNNNNNNNNNNNNNNNNNNNNNNNNNNNNNNNNNNNNNNNNNNNAAAUCUGAUCAGAGGGCCCGCGGAAGCAAAAGAACCCCAAAGAGGCACGUGCAGGGCUCGGAUUGCACAAACAGGUAGGAAGGGUGGCUGGUCGGCGUCAGGCGAGCCUGGAGGAGGAAGCGCGUCGCCGGAAAGUGGCUCACGCGCCCUCACGCGCCGGCGCGUGAGAUGCAGUCGCCGGCCGGAAAAACGCGCGUGGGCGGCGCGUGGAUGGGUUUCUGGUUCCGGUGCUUUGGGACAAAUUGGAGAUCUCCUCCAGGCGCUCCUUGCGGUGUAGAAAAAAACCGUCGCCGGAAAGUUCGCCGGAAAAGUUGCCGGCGGUGAGUGUUUUCUGACGACUAUUCGACUGACUGGAAAGUGUUUUCUCCCUUGGCUCUGAGAACAGGGACUGAUGGCCGGAAUGAGAGAGAGAGAGAGAGAGAUGAUCGGAUUGAGAUAUGGCCAGAAAGAUUUGGCCGGAAUGAGUGAUGGCCUGAAUAAGAGGUGGCCAGAAGGGAUUAGGGUUUCAGAAAACUGGCUCUGAUACCAUGAAGAAUUUCUGAACUCCUUUAUUGAUAAUGAAUCGGUACACACCAUACACAUAUAUAUACACAAAUGACUGAAUAAGAAACAAUCAAUCUAGCUUAAUUCUCUCCUAAAAUUAGGAAACUAAAUCAUAAGGAAAUAUCCUAAAUGAUCUCUCCUUUUUUUUAUUCCUAAAUUAAAGUCCUAACUUUGGCAUUAUUUCAACAGAGAUUUUAGAAUUGUAGGAUGAAACUUUUAUUUUGAUUCCAGACAGAAGCUAUGCCCAACAUUCAUAUUGACUUCUUCAAUCGAAAUAGCUGGAUUGAUUUGCUUGCAUCUGAAAGGCUGAUUGCGUGGACCUGUGAUAGAUACUGUAUUGCUUUGAUUUCAUCAUCCUAUACAUUUAGAUGCGUUUUAAAGUUGUGAGAGUCAAUAUCGUAUCAAACUCAUCUCAUAUGUUUUUCCCUAAUUCAGUCCAAGGCUCUUUCAUUGAGCCACAACUUCUUGGUGCAUUUGAGAUGCUUUAGGCAAGGUCUAAAUUCAACUAUUUGGAUGCUGAUAUUGGUACUUUUCAAGCAGAUUUUUUAUAGAAUCUCCCCAUAUUUUCAAUUUCUUUAAUGGGUCAUUUUCAAACAAGGAGUAUGAUAGCUUGAGAGCUAGGGUGACUUCUUAUACAAUAUUUGUUCACUUAUGAUAAGAUUAGAGAUAUGAUUUUAAGAAGGUUUAAGUGUGUUUUUCUUAUAAAAGAUUGAUAUUUAGCAAAGUUUCAAAAAUUUAGAGAAUUAUUUAAAGUGAUUUUUGGAUUAGUAGUGUGCGUGCGGGUUUUUUUUUUUUAAUUUUAAAUCAUCUUCAAAUUUCAAUAUCAUUUAUUUAUGUUUUGCUUUUAAAAAAAAAAUUGAAAAUGAAUUUUUAAUUAUUUAUUUAAGUCUUUUUUCAAUAUCAAAAUUGUUCUUAUUUCUAAUAAAAAAAAUUUAAGUAACGAAAGUGAUUACUUCUAUUUCUUAAACAUUGAUUUGAUGUUGGGCUGAGCUCUAUGAGUUGGGCCAACUCACAAGUCAGCGCAACAAACAUCUCUGAGGACACCCUUGUAAUUUUGAAAGAAUUGAGGGGUAAAAUGAGUCAUUUCACCACCUCUUCCCCAAAUUGUUGGUAAGAGAGCCACCAUGGAAGAACAGCGAUGGACCUUAUAACAGUGUCAACAAAACCAAUUGCUCUCCUUACAAUCACCUUAGGUAGCACCAUUUUCUUCAUACUUAUCCUCCGGCCGCAUACAUUUUCUCCAAAGCCAGACUCCAUGGCUCGAAGCUUUGUUUUGUGGCUUCAUGGGUUGGGUGACUCAGGCCCUGCCAAUGAACCCAUCAAGACCCUCUUCACUUCUCCUGAGUUCAGAAACACCAUAUGGAAAUUCCCUUCUGCUCCUUCAA
rnacentral:lncRNA from 1 species